ACGGUUUUAGUAAAAGUGAAGUUAAAUUGCUUUUCCUGGUGUUAUGUUCAACUGUGUUUAAGUUAUAUAUAAAAUAACCCAAAAAACACGACAUGGCGUCAGAAGUGGUGCCGUUGAAGUAAAUGUGUGGAGGAAAUAAUUGCUACACACUAAUAAAAAAGAAAUGUGAGCUAGUGGUGAAUAGCUGUCUGUUAUGCCUAAUCCACUAGAUGGCGGUGUCCCUUAGAUCGCGGUGUCUUUUAGUUCCUGCCAGUUAAUUUCAGCAUUCUGCACAUGGGCAGUAGGGACUAGGAAGCAGUGAGUUACAGUUAAAAAAAACUUUUACACCCUAAAUGAGGUAUGAAAUCAAAAGUAUUAACGAGUAUAAAGGGGUAUUUCAUAGGAUUAUGACAAGAUCAGCAAGAUGGAUAUUAGAUUUUAACGGAGUGGACUGAGGCCGUAGCCAGUUUCUAGACAUCUAGUCGGGCUAGGAAUAUCUGUUUACUCAUUUGUAAGUAAUGAGUUUCACACGUUCCUUGUAUUUUAUGUUCCUUUAUUCUUUACAGAGACUUAUGUUUAGUGGUAAAAUGGGUAUAGCACUAUUUGUUAAGUGUAUGCAAUUGUAAGUAUUAUACUAAUUAUCGUUGAAAGUAAUGUAGUUCUCAGUGAGGGUAGAGCUGAGAGGUGACCUGCGCAGCCUGUGAGCGGAUUAUUUCUGCACGCGCUGCGUGGUGUGUUGUUUAAAUUUAAACUGUAAUGUAUUUUUUUUUUCAGUGUAGAUGCGAUUCUGUAACGGUUAGAUGGAAUGUUGAAACCGUAAAACUAAAAUGUGUUUUUUUAUGUUUUCCCUCAUGGUAGGAAGAGCCACUACUGUAUUUGCUGUAGGCAAAAAUAUCAUUAUAUGUCAUUUCUAUUGUUUUUUUUAUUAUUUUCCAAACCAACAAAACAGAUCAGACACCAUACUUACCUGGAAAUAAAGAACCCCAAAAGUAUAUUUGUGUCCUGUGCUGGUUAUUCUUUGUCAGGCUACAGAAAGAAAAAAGAAAACGCCGGUGAAAAUGGAGAAGUUACAGCCACCCACAGUCUCCAGUUCUCAGGACAAACUGAAAGAGGAGCUGAACAAAAUGGAAAGCAUGAAUGUGAUCAAGAAAGUUGAGGAACGAACUGAAUAGGUUUGUCGGACCAAGUUACAAAAUUACUGGAUGCAUCUUCUGAAUCUGAAGAUAUUUCACAUUGAUUCUGCAGGUAACAAGGUACUGUGCACAACAAAUUUCACCGUCAGGGCCUGCAGGGCUUCCUUCUCCUGAGGAGACUGAAUCUUGUGAGCCA